GCCGACAGUGCCUGUGGCUCUCCGGAACAAUAAACCCCCGGCUCCGGUGAUGUGGGCCAGACCGGACCUACAGAGGCGGCACCGCGACCCCUCACUCAACCCGCCUGGCGGCCGGGAGCAGCGUGACCCGGCCUGCUACCGUGUUACAGCUGGCGACUGACAAACAGCAGGCGACGUCGGGAGAACUCCCCGAGACGGCCGAGACAUCAGCCUUCUUGCUCCACGGCCCUGUAGGACCUGCCCGCCGGGAGCCCCGGAGUCCGCGGCAGCGCCGAGGGCCCCUCCCCCAGGUCUCUGGGCUCUGAGGCUCAUCCAUGGAAUACCAAUCCUUUUUCUUAGUGUUCACAUUGGAUUUUUCUGUUAAAAAUAGAUUGUUGGAGUUGGCUAACAAGUUGACGACUUCCAGUCAAGCACUCUCUUCUGUAAAGUCUCUUUUGUAAGCUCCUACAAGCAGCUAUUUCACUGGACUUGAAAGAACUGAUUAAAAAGAACCACACACUGUAACUCUCAAGCA